CAAGCGGUGGAGUAUGUGGUUUAAUUCGACGCAACGCGAAGAACCUUACCAGCUCUUGACAUGUCCAUUAUGGGUCUGAGAGAUCAGAUCCUUCGGUUCGGCCGGGUGGAACACAGGUGCUGCAUGGCUGUCGUCAGCUCGUGUCGUGAGAUGUUGGGUUAAGUCCCGCAACGAGCGCAACCCUCACCUUUAGUUGCUACCAGGUUAUGCUGGGCACUCUAGAGGAACCGCCGGUGAUAAGCCGGAGGAAGGCGGGGAUGACGUCAAGUCCUCAUGGCCCUUACGGGCUGGGCUACACACGUACUACAAUGGUUGGUACAACGAGUUGCGAGUCGGUGACGGCGAGCUAAUCUCUUAAAGCCAAUCUCAGUUCGGAUUGUAGGCUGCAACUCGCCUACAUGAAGUCGGAAUCGCUAGUAAUCGCGGAUCAGCACGCCGCGGUGAAUACGUUCCCGGGCCUU
rnacentral:rRNA from 1 species